rnacentral:misc_RNA from 1 species
GCAAACUUGGUCAUUUAGAGGAAGUAAAAGUCGUAACAAGGUUUCCGUAGGUGAACCUGCGGAAGGAUCAUUACUGAAUGAAAUGGGUUGCUGCUGGCUUUGACAGGCAAUGUGCACGCCCACUCCAUUUUUUCCAAACCCCCCUUGUGCACCUUGUGUAGAUCCUUGAAUAACAGCUCAAGAGGACACUGCUUUUUUGCUUUCUUUGGCCAAAAGGCGGCACUGUUGUGCUCAAGUUCGAGGUUCUAUGUCUUUUGAUACAAUACUCCACAAGCAUGUAUCAGAGUGUUGAUGGCAAAUGGGCCUCUCGAGGCCCUUUUGAAUUCAAAUACAACUUUCAACAACGGAUCUCUUGGCUCUCGCAUCGAUGAAGAACGCAGC